ACUCCUACGGGAGGCAGCAGUAGGGAAUCUUCCACAAUGGGCGCAAGCCUGAUGGAGCAACACCGCGUGAGUGAAGAAGGGUUUCGGCUCGUAAAGCUCUGUUGUUAAAGAAGAACACGUAUGAGAGUAACUGUUCAUACGUUGACGGUAUUUAACCAGAAAGUCACGGCUAACUACGUGCCAGCAGCCGCGGUAAUACGUAGGUGGCAAGCGUUAUCCGGAUUUAUUGGGCGUAAAGAGAGUGCAGGCGGUUUUCUAAGUCUGAUGCGAAAGCCUUCGGCUUAACCGGAGAAGUGCAUCGGAAACUGGAUAACUUGAGUGCAGAAGAGGUAGUGGAACUCCAUGUGUAGCGGUGGAAUGCGUAGAUAUAUGGAAGAACACCAGUGGCGAAGGCGGCUACCUGGUCUGCAACUGACGCUGAGACUCGAAAGCAUGGGUAGCGAACAGGAUUAGAUACCCCUGGUAGGAUAGCG
rnacentral:rRNA from 1 species